UUCAAAUCCCAGCAGCCACAUGGUGGCUCACAACCAUCUGAUGCCCUUUUUAAAAAAAAAAAGAAAAAAGAAAAGAAAACAGAAAGGACACACGGUGAAAUAGACUCGGAAUUCGAUGCAGAGGUGGGUCGUGUGGAUCACGGUCUUGGGGAUGUCAGAUAAGGAGUUCCCUAGGGGCAGUUCUAGGAUAGAAGCAGCCUGUAAAUUUGAGGACAGAUAAGAUUGAAAUGUGAAGGUGGGGAGAGCUGGGCAUCUGGAAGGGCACCUGGAAGCUGGGAGCUAACGGCAACAGUGCCCACAGUGAGGGGGGAGGAAGAGAAGGGGAAGCCAGCCAAGUCCUGCAGAAUUUCCAAAGAAUUCCUAUGAGACUUGGUCUCAUAAGACCUUACAGGAGAAUGCUGACACGCCUCUCCUCCAAUACACCUAGGUACCUUCCCCAGUCUCCCCCUCGGUGAGAGAGGAACUGGUAUUGAAACCCAGGUUGCUGUGAGCAUAUUAGCCAUCUUCUCCCCACUGUGCUCAAGUGGACAGUGACAGAGAAACCAAGGGCUACCAGGGUGUUAACUGCUGCCUGCAACAGGAGCAGGGGGAGACUCUGAGCACCUGCGAAACCACAGGCAACUUUUCGCAAGCGACUCCCGUGGGCCCGGAUGAAACGCUUUCCAAAUCUCUGCUGCAAGCCAGCACCUGUUUAAUCUGUGUGCCUCCACCUCCAUCCUGAGCCUUCCAGACCCUCACUGAGGAUGACAGUCUUGGGGGCUUCCAUUUUUACUAAACCAUCACGUUAGAGAAGCUGAAGGUGGAAGGGACCCUUUAGAGAAUAGCCGCUGAGGUUUUGUCUGUGACCUGAGGCUGACAGCAGACCACAGGCUUGCAGAGCCUGUGAAGAGCAAGGCACUGCAGGCUUGAGCUCUUCAACUCCAAGCCUCAGGCCCUGCCCCGUGGUACCUGCCUGGUCACCAGCCUGGUUAGCAUAGGAUCUUUAUUCUAUUUUUAAAGUUCGACCCAAGUGCAAAGCUCCAAGAGACAACAGAAGGGAAGUUUCCUGAAACUGCAAGAAUAGCUGAAGGUUGUCCCUGCUGCCAAUGGGCCUGCUUAGAGCAAGCUUCCCUUUCAAUCCUAGUACAUUCUUCACUAGCACUAUCCACCUCCCUCAUUGAUGCUUUAGUCAACUGAUGCCUUUUUCCUGAAUUGAGGAAAAGCAAUAUAUCAAAUAUGGAGUUUAACUUGUUUCUAAUUUGUGGGGCAGGGUACUCUGUCCCCUUUAGUUUAAGAAAUUUGGAGCAGAGAGAUGGAGCUGGGGACCUGUAUUUAAUAACAUCUCCUCCUCUCGCCUUGUUCUAAAGGGACAUCUGAUUCCCAUUAUUCAGCCAUUAAAAAAAAAAAAAAAUCAAUGAAGUCACCAUUAGCUCCACUCAGAAAGUUGUAAACAGCUUAGGGACCCAGCAGAGAAAGCAUGAUGUUUGUCAAGGUUUCCUUCAGUGGUGACAAGCGAUGAGGGUUGCUCACCAGCAUCUUUCAGAAACCUGGGAGCCGCCAAAAGCUCCAGCCACUCAGAGCCUUUAAGCCCCUUUCACCGGCACAGCAGCCCUUUGCACCGUGUACACGAAGCAGCUGUGGUGUUAGGUACAUCUGCUCCUUCCCUCUGGGGACAGUUGGGACUCCACACCCCAGAAAUAAGACCUGGUUUUUGCUGCAGAACAGCCACCUUCUAAAACAAAAAUCAUUUUUAAAAUUUAUAUUUAGAGUCACUCCUUCCAUCCCUCUGAAUUACAGGUAAAAGUUAAAAAUUGAAACCAUGCUUAAGGGAAACACGCUCUGAUCAAUUACUUGAAGGAAUUAGCCCCGUGGGAGCAGCAGAGACAUUUGCACGUAGGCCAAAUGUUAAGCAUUGCUGACUCAUGAUAACCGGAGCACACAGCAUUCUCAUGGCCAAGUGUGGAAUAGCCUGGCAUGGGUCACCUGCAUUCAAUUUAUUUUUUAAGAUCUAUUUAUUUUAUGUAUAUGAGUACACUGUCGCUGUCUUCAGACAUACCAGAAGAGGGCAUCGGAUCCCAUUACAGAUGGUUGUGAGCCAUCAUGUGGUUUCUGGGAAUUGAACUCAGGACCUCUGGAAGAGUAGUCAGUGCUCUUAACCGCUGAGCCAUCUCUCCAGCCCCACUUGCAUUUAU
rnacentral:lncRNA from 1 species